rnacentral:rRNA from 1 species
CUUAACGGCCACACCUCCCUGAGCACCGCCCAGUCUCGUCUGAUCUCGGAAGCUAAGCAGGGUCGGGCCCGGUUAGUACUUGGUGGGAGACCGCCUGGGAAUACCAGGUGCUGUAAGCC